UUCGGUUCCCGUACGAUUACCGAAGUUAAGCAACAUUGGUUCUGAUCAAUACCUAGAUGAGUGACGACUUGGGAAUACCAGGAGCUGUAA